GACGAACCGUGCGAACGUUGUUCGGAAUCACUGGGCUUAAAGGGCGCGUAGGCGGUCUGCCAAGUCCGGGGUGAAAGCCCCCAGCUCAACUGGGGAAGUGCCUUGGAUACUGGCGGACUCGAGCGAGGCAGGGGUCGUGGGAACUUCCGGUGGAGCGGUGAAAUGCGUUGAUAUCGGAAGGAACGCCGGUGGCGAAAGCGCACGACUGGUCCUCUUCUGACGCUGAGGCGCGAAAGCCAGGGGAGCAAACGGG
rnacentral:rRNA from 1 species